GGCUGUAGCUCAGUGGCAGAGCACUUGCGUAGCAUGCAUUAGGCACUGGGUUCAAUCCUCAGCACCA
rnacentral:tRNA from 1 species